GUGGAUUAGAUACCCUAGUAGUCCAUGCCGUAAACGGUGGGCGCUAGGUGUGGGGUCCUUCCACGGACUCCGUGCCGUAGCUAACGCAUUAAGCGCCCCGCCUGGGGAGUACGGCCGCAAGGCUAAAACUCAAAGGAAUUGACGGGGGCCCGCACAAGCGGCGGAGCAUGUGGAUUAAUUCGAUGCAACGCGAAGAACCUUACCGAGGCUUGACAUAUACAGGACGACGGCAGAGAUGUCGUUUCCCUUGUGGCUUGUAUACAGGUGGUGCACGGUCGUCGCCAGCU
rnacentral:rRNA from 1 species